rnacentral:misc_RNA from 1 species
AGAAAGAGAGAGAGAGAGAGAGAGAGAAGUAAAGAGCAAAGACAUGUUGCUUAAAUUUUCAAUUCAACGAGUGAGAAAUCCGAGGGCCUUGAGUCCUCAGAUCCUUGCUUUGAGGAGCUCUCAUUUUUCUACUGCUGCUCAGCCUUCUUCCAGUCAGCGAAAACCUAUGAGGGUUCCGAAUUUUAUUGGAGGGACAUUUGUUGAUUCGCAAUCAUCUUCGGCCAUUGAUGUGAUAAACCCUGCAACACAAGAAGUUGUAUCUCAAGUUCCUUUUACUACAUAU